rnacentral:rRNA from 1 species
GGACGAACGCUGGCGGCGUGCCUAAUACAUGCAAGUUGAACGCAACAAAGACACCAGAGCUUGCUCUACCGUCUUUGUUGAGUAGCGAACGGGUGAGUAACGCGUGGGUAACCUGCCUUAUAGCGGGGGAUAACUAUUGGAAACGAUAGCUAAUACCGCAUAACAAUAGAGAUUGCAUAAUCUUUAUUUGAAAGUGCCAACUGGUACACUAUGAGAUGGGACCCGCGUUGUAUUAGCUAGUUGGUAGUGUAAUGGACUACCAAGGCGAUGAUACAUAGCCGACCUGAGAGGGUGAUCGGCCACAUUGGGACUGAGACACGGCCCAAACUCCUACGGGAGGCAGCAGUAGGGAAUCUUCGGCAAUGGACGAAAGUCUGACCGAGCAACGCCGCGUGAGUGAAGAAGGUUUUCGGAUCGUAAAACUCUGUUGUUAGAGAAGAAUGUUGAUUAGAGUGGAAAAUUAAUCAAGUGACGGUAUCUAACCAGAAAGGGACGGCUAACUACGUG